rnacentral:rRNA from 1 species
UACAGAGGUGGCAAGCGUUGUUCGGAAUUACUGGGCGUAAAGCGCGUGUAGGCGGCUCUUCAAGUCAGGCGUGAAAGCCCCGGGCUCAACCCUGGAACUGCCUUUAAUACUGCUGGUCUGGAGUCCGAGAGAGGUGAGUGGAAUUCCGAGUGUAGAGGUGAAAUUCGUAGAUAUUCGGAGGAACACCAGUGGCGAAGGCGGCUCACUGGCUCGGUACUGACGCUGAGGUGCGAAAGCGUGGGGAGCAAACAGG